AGAAGCUUUAUGAUUAAAGGAGCUUGCUCCACUUUGGGAGGGGCCUGCGUACCAUCAGCUAGUUGGUAGGGUAAUGGCCUACCAAGGCUAUGACGGUUAGGGGACCUGAGAGGGUGGCCCCCCACAAUGGAACUGAAACACGGUCCAUACACCUACGGGUGGCAGCAGUAGGGAAUAUUGGUAAUGCGCGAAAGCGCGAACCAGCAACGCCGCGUGUGCGAAGAAGGCCUUCGGGUUGUAAAGCACUUUUCGGGAGGAAGAGGAAGGACUGUACUCCCGGAAUAAGUCUCGGCUAACUACGUGCCAGCAGCCGCGGUAAUACGUAGGAGGCUAACGUUAUCCGGAUUUACUGGGCGUAAAGCGCGUGUAGGCGGUUUGGUAAGUUGGACGUGAAAGCUCCCGGCUCAACUGGGAGAGGUCGUUCAAUACUGCUAGACUAGAGGAUGGUAGAGGGAGGUGGAAUCCGGGGUGUAUUGGUGAAUUGCGCAGAUAUUCGGAGGACCACAGGUGGCGAAGGCGGCCUCCUGGACCACUCCGACGCCAAA
rnacentral:rRNA from 1 species